rnacentral:rRNA from 1 species
AUUGAACGCUAGCGGGAUGCCUUACACAUGCAAGUCGAACGGCAGCAUAAGAGAGCUUGCUCUCUUGAUGGCGAGUGGCGGACGGGUGAGUAACGCGUGAGGAACCUGCCUCGGAGUGGGGAAUAACAACCCGAAAGGGUUGCUAAUACCGCAUAAUGCAGUUGGGUCGCAUGGCUCUGACUGCCAAAGAUUUAUCGCUCUGAGAUGGCCUCGCGUCUGAUUAGCUAGUUGGCGGGGUAACGGCCCACCAAGGCGACGAUCAGUAGCCGGACUGAGAGGUUGACCGGCCACAUUGGGACUGAGACACGGCCCAG